UGGGGAAUAUUGGACAAUGGGCGCAAGCCUGAUCCAGCCAUGCCGCGUGAGUGAUGAAGGUCUUAGGAUUGUAAAGCUCUUUCACCGGUGAAGAUAAUGACGGUAACCGGAGAAGAAGCCCCGGCUAACUUCGUGCCAGCAGCCGCGGUAAUACGAAGGGGGCUAGCGUUGUUCGGAAUUACUGGGCGUAAAGCGCACGUAGGCGGAUAUUUAAGUCAGGGGUGAAAUCCCAGAGCUCAACUCUGGAACUGCCUUUGAUACUGGGUAUCUUGAGUAUGGAAGAGGUGAGUGGAAUUCCGAGUGUAGAGGUGAAAUUCGUAGAUAUUCGGAGGAACACCAGUGGCGAAGGCGGCUCACUGGUCCAUUACUGACGCUGAGGUGCGAAAGCGUGGGGAGCAAAACAGGAUUAGAUACCCUGGUAGUCCACGCCGUAAACGAUGAAUGUUAGCCGUCGGGCAGUAUACUGUUCGGUGGCGCAGCUAACGCAUUAAACAUUCCGCCUGGGGAGUACGGUCGCAAGAUUAAAAACUUAAAUGAAUUGACGGGGUCAUGCUGUUUCCU
rnacentral:rRNA from 1 species